UAGGGAAUCUUCCGCAAUGGGCGAAAGCCUGACGGAGCAACGCCGCGUGAGUGAUGAAGGUCUUCGGAUCGUAAAACUCUGUUAUUAGGGAAGAACAAAUGUGUAAGUAACUAUGCACGUCUUGACGGUACCUAAUCAGAAAGCCACGGCUAACUACGUGCCAGCAGCCGCGGUAAUACGUAGGUGGCAAGCGUUAUCCGGAAUUAUUGGGCGUAAAGCGCGCGUAGGCGGUUUUUUAAGUCUGAUGUGAAAGCCCACGGCUCAACCGUGGAGGGUCAGUGGAAACUGGAAAACUUGAGUGCAGAAGAGGAAAGAGGAAUUCCAGGUGUAGCGGUGAAAUGCGCAGAGAUAUGGAGGAACACCAGUGGCGAAGGCGACUUUCUGGUCUGUAACUGACGCUGAUGUGCGAAAGCGUGGGGAUCAAACGGG
rnacentral:rRNA from 1 species